UUUGUACUCCUUCCAUCCGAAAAAGCUUGCCCCUCAAAUGGAUGUAUCUAGCAUCAAGUUAGUGCUAGAUAUAUCCAUUUGAGGAACAAGUUUGGGACAAGUUUUUUCAGACGGUGGAAGUAUUUU
rfam:Triticum aestivum genome assembly, contig: Triticum_aestivum_CS42_TGACv1_scaffold_289552_4AL